GAUAUUUGGUUCCAAUUAGGAGGAACAUGCCAUACCUAAUAAAACACUGUGGACAGAGAAAACAAACAGUAGUGUAAAAAUGAGCCACAAAUCUGCUAUGUUAAUAAAUCUAACAAAAAUUUAGUGUCUGACAUUCACCACCUAAUUGUCUGUGCUACUCCUGGAACCAAUUACUAAGCUCCGGAAAUUAUGAAAUCCUUAUUAUCAAAGUAAUAUGAAGAAUUCAGACAUUUAAAGUAAGAUCAAUGGUUACAACAGGGCUUUUCAGUAGGUGCAGUGAAGGGAAAUGCUCUAGAAGCCACUGAUUCCUUUCAACUUCCCCUUUGCUUUUAUGUCUCUGCUAUUCCCUGUAAUCCUCUAAUAUGCCACAUCCAGUUAUAAAGCUCAGAGAAAACAUUCUAACUUGAGGGUACUGAUCAGUGAUUCAGUUUCUUCUCUUACAGGCAACUCUACCUCAUACAGCAGCACGAAGUCAUUCAUACAGUCCCUAGAUCAAGAACUGGUAAAUAUGGUCAAUUAGGAAGAAGUUUUAUAUUUUUAUGAUUUUUAGACAACAUUAUGGUUCUAACUUUUAAAAUUCUUGUUUCUAACAAAUGUCAUUUAACUAUAGCUAAUGAGUCUCCCAAGUAAGAGCAGAUGAUAAUAGAGCUAAUAUACAAUAAGUAAAGGGAUACACAGUGUUAUAGCUCAAAAGUGUUAGUAAUUUACUUGAAUCUGAAAAACAUCAGAAAGAAGAAAAAGUUAGUUCAACUGAGAGCUGCCAAAAUAGUCAUCUUAUGAGUCGAUGUCUGGCCAUAAUUUUAUCUCAACAAAAUAAAGGCUUUUGUGAUAUGAUUUAUCAUCUAAUAUUGAUUACUAAAUGCAAAGAAGUUCAACUUUAUUUAUUCAAGCAAAGGACAAUUUAAUUCACAACUGUUUGCUUGAAUCUCAUUUAAAAGUUUUAAAGUCAUGAAUAAGGUUUUAAAGUUAUUAAUGUACCUAUUUAAUUUUAUGCUUGGUAUGAAGUCAUCUGUAACUUUCACAGAAUAUUAACCAUAAUCACCUCUGAAGCACUGCAGCACUCAGUCAUUUCUUCACCUCUCAGGUCUAGAGGAACCUUGGUUGGUUAGGUAGAAUUAGUCAUUCACUCUGAAUACCCUCUGGGACUACAUGAUUAUAAUCCCCAAGAUUUGAAAAAGAAGCUAUCUGGGUGUCAAAGACACUUUAGUUGUCAAGGGGCGAUCCUUAGCAGGAUCACAAAUGAAUUCAAAAAUCAGAUUGGACAAAUCAGAAUGGAUACAAGAAGAUAACAAAUGCUUGACUGGCUAUUCAGGUUCCCAAGCGGACAGAAGACUUGAAGUGGCAGCCAGGGCAGGCAAUGCCACCUACUGGUCAGCCAAGGUAGAAAAAAGAAAUAGCCUAGUGAAUUAACUUCAGCCAUACUAGGCCAUUUGGUGUUGUGACACAGUGCAAAAUCUCCUUCUAAUUAGUGAAAUAAACAUCAGAUCAUCUGCAAUAACCUUUCUGGAAUAUAGCUACUUAAUUUUAAAAGAAUAAACCAAAGUGAUUAUGUUUAUCAAAAAAGUCGAAAAGGAGAACCACAGACACAUUCCAUAGGAUUUCAGAAUGAGCCCUCUUUAAAAUGCCACUGUCUCUAUUUCAGUCUAUCUUCCUAUUUCAGAAUUUCCCUGGACCUCAUUCAAAUUGGAAUUCAAUAAGGAUGUCCCCAUUACAAAUGAAUAUUUGAUUCUCUGGAAAGGAACAUGAUUGAUUUCAUUUUUUAAAUCAACACAGUUACAGUCUGAGUUCAAUAUUGAGGGAAGCCUCAUGAGUAUUCCUUAUUCAUUAACGCACAAGUUAAUAUGUUGAAAUUGACUGACUUUAUGUAUAGGAAAGCAUUGAGUAGCAAAUAUAUUAAGGGAAUUUAGAAUCAUCUCUACAAACUCACUCCUUCGGCAUACAAAUUAGAGUUUUAGUCCAGAAGUGGGCUUCUGAAGCAAUAUAACUUCCCAAUUCAUUUCUCAGAACUUAAAUAUCCUCAGAAUUUUAUAAGAAGUUAAUAACUUUCCAUGGUCCAUGAAACCUCAAAUGCUAAUUCCAUUUUCAAAUGGUAAAUGGCACACAAAGUAUUUGAUAACAAGCUGCUACUUCUUAAAAUUUUCUUUCAUACUGUCAUAAAAAAGCCUAAAGAACAGAGAAAUCAUCCUUUUCUGAAACAUAAACAAUAAUGACUCCAGAAAGCAAAAUACCCACUGUCCAAGUCAAAUCAAUUAAACCAUGAAAUCACCUUAACCAGAAGAAGCUUGGAAGGAUUCUAAGGCCAGCCCUCAUCCUCAUUCUCCAAGAAAUGGUCAGAACCUUUCUUGUCUUAAUCUUUUUCCUUAAGUCAUACUAGUAAGAAUUUAUUAUGCCAGUGAUCACAGGAUUUUAAAAAGUUCCAGACAAUAAUUACUAAUAUUAAUAUUUUCAAACCUAAAGAAUCACUAAAGUCCUUGAGCAUAUGAUUUCCAACCUAAAAUCCAUCACAUAACCAUUUAAAUCUACUUCGUGUUGGCCUGACCGCUGUGAAGCUAUUCCCUUACUCAGGCUGUAGAGAGCAGUUAAUUGAAUCUAUAACUUUGGUCUCCAGGCUUUAAUCCCCUACUCAACUUUCUUAGUCAAGUGACUAGUACAAUUUACAUUGUUCUGGUAAAAUAUUAACAGAAUCAACUUUGGAGAGAAUCCAGGACUUAAAACCAGGUUCAAAUCCUGUCUUUGCCACUAACCAAAUAUGUGCCCUAGAGCAAAUAAUUUAAUUUCUCUGGGCCUGUUUUUUCAUUUUUAAAGUGGGGGUAAUCAUUACCUACUUCAAGGAUUGGUAAAGAUGAGGUGAGGUGAUCCGUUUCCUGUGCUGGGCACUCAGUAAGCAUUCAACAAAUAUUUGAAGUUCCUCAUCAACAAUUUUUUUUUAAUUUUCAAUAUACACCAGGCUCCAUGCUAAUUGCUGCAGCUACAACAGUGAGAAAGACAGAAACGAUCUCAUCCUGAAUGAUAUUCAAGUAGAGAAUAGCAUAGAAAGCCUACUAAUACAAUAAUUACAAACAGCGAUGUGUUAUGAUGGAAACAAACAAGGGCUGAAAUCGAGAACACAGAGAACAAGGGAAGGAAGAAGACCAAGAAAGCCUUCUCCAAAGAAGUGGCAUUUAAGCUAAUAGCCAAAGGAAGACAAGGACCUGGCCAUGCAAAAAGAGGAAGGGUGUUCACGGCAGAGAAAACAGCAAGUAAAAAAGCUCUGAGAAAGUCCCCCACUGCCAACUGAGAUGGAGUCCAGUCCUCCCUGCCCAAAGACAAAAAGACAAAGGAUGACAGCUUGCACUGGAGCAGUCAAGCUGGGGAGAAGCAGAGGAAGACAUCUGUCUACCUGUGGAAUCAAGGGUCACUGUCAGUUCCAGAGCGUUCAACCCAGACCUACCAUCCUCUUGGCCUCAGUGACUGGCUCACUUGAGCCAAUCAGACCAACCAGCGACAAUAUUGGGCAUUUUGUUUGAAUGAUUUGGAAGAGGUCCUCCCUCUUUCUCAUUGUGCUUGAUGCCACGAGGAUGCAGAGGGUGGAGCAAUAGCAGUCAUUUUGGCCCCAUGAGGGAGAGACUGAAGCUGCCAGGGGAUACCACAGGGGCCUGAAAUGAAGCCAAGACUGAGAGAAGAGAAAUCAUAUCCUGAUGACAGCAUGAGAACUUGGGAUCCAGCCAUUCUUGAAGCCAAGGUCUAGCGCUAGACUUUUCAAUUAUAAGAACCAAUAAGUUUCUCCUUUUUUUUUUUCCUUAAGCCAGCUGGAAUUAGGGUUUUUUGUUUGGUUUUUGUUUUAGUCAUUUGCAACUGGUAGAGUCUUAACUGAUAAACAAGACCCUGACAGCCUAAUGAUGACAUAAGAAAUACGCAGAAAUUCAACUGCUCAACUGCCCUUCUCAGUCAUAUGCCAAGUGUGUCCCCUUUCUUCAUAUUUCUAAUUCCUUGUUCAUAGGGCUUCAGUAACCCUGUUAAAGGGUGCAAUUCAAUCAAUGCACUUCUGAUAUAUCAAAUAAUAAUGCCUUUUAUAUGUAUCAUCUACAAAAUUCAUUUUAUGUAUAUUUUUUAAAUCCAAACAAACAACACUAAAGGAGAUAGUAGUCACAGUUUAAUGACUAAGAACUAACUAAAAUGUUUUAAAGUUUACUUGGCACUAAGACCUCAUAGCUAGAAAGCGGUAAGGAACAGGUCUUCAUUAUUCUUAUCUUUAUGUCUGUUAUUCUUUUCAUCAUACCACAAAUAUUGUUAUCUUCAAAAGUAUAAUUGGCUGUAUGUAUAAACAAGACAUAAACAUUAAGCAGAUUAAGAGAUAUAAGACUUUUUU